rnacentral:rRNA from 1 species
GGACGAACGCGGGCGGCGUGCUUAACACAUGCAAGUCGAACGGAAAGGCCCUGCUUUUGUGGGGUGCUCGAGUGGCGAACGGGUGAGUAACACGUGAGUAACCUGCCCUUGACUUUGGGAUAACUUCAGGAAACUGGGGCUAAUACCGGAUAGGAGCUCCUGCUGCAUGGUGGGGGUUGGAAAGUUUCGGCGGUUGGGGAUGGACUCGCGGCUUAUCAGCUUGUUGGUGGGGUAGUGGCUUACCAAGGCUUUGACGGGUAGCCGGCCUGAGAGGGUGACCGGCCACAUUGGGACUGAGAUACGGCCCAGACUCCUACGGGAGGCAGCAGUGGGGAAUAUUGCACAAUGGGCGGAAGCCUGAUGCAGCAACGCCGCGUGCGGGAUGACGGCCUUCGGGUUGUAAACCGCUUUCGCCUGUGACGAAGCGUGAGUGACGGUAAUGGGUAAAGAAGCACCGGCUAACUACGUG